rnacentral:rRNA from 1 species
GAUUUCACGUUUGAGGCUAAGACCGGGUCCUUUACGGGGCUCUGCGUCCCAAUCCUCUACGUUCCUAGCCCGGAUGCUUUCUGGCGUUCUUAAAUGGGCGCCGGGGGGUGUUUGGGAUCAUUUACUGUGAAAAAAUUAGAGUGUUUCAAGCAGGCUUUAUGCUAUGAAUACAUUAGCAUGGAAUAAUAAUUUAGGACUUCGGUUCUAUUUUGUUGGUUUCUAGGACUGAAGUAAUGAUUGAUAGGGAUAGUUGGGGGUGCUAGUAUUCAGCGGCCAGAGGUGAAAUUCUCGGAUUCGCUGAAGACUAACUUAUGCGAAAGCAUU